CUCACGCGAGAUUUUCAGUCUUGAUCUCUUUGGUUGGCUGUACGGUGGACCUGAGCAGGGAGGCUCCAGCUGCAUCAUGCCGUUUUCAAAUGUAGUGAUGCAUUCGUAUAUAAAUAUGGACUUUACUACAGAUGAGCCGCCGUGAACAGGCAGAUUUGGCUGUUGUGGAAUGAGGAUAUUUUCCUGCCAAAAAAGGGCUGAGCUUUUCGUCGUAAUGAAAGGUUCACGGUUCUUCUGUGCUGCUUGACUCUUCACUGUCGAAAGGGAGGAGACAUGGUGAAGAGGGCUUAUCUGCACUGCAAGACGGCACAAGGCUGCAGAGAAGUUGAACAGAUGACUUCAGUGGAGAAGUGGACACCACACAGCUUGGAUCAUCCAGAAGUCUGGCGCCACAGUAUAUUACAGCACAUCUGUCUGAUUAAACCAAGAGUGAUCUAAAACAUGUUUAUUAAAAUUCCAGCAUCAUGGCACAUGAUAAGUAACAUGAAUCCUACUGGGAGCACCCAGCAUGCGUUAGUCUAUGCUGAAGGAUCAUCUGUAAGAUUUCUUCUUCAAAUUGUCUAAGAAGAACUGUUCUUCUUGGAGGUAUUCACGGUCCUGUGAGCAGGAGAAGAAAGUGAUUAGCACCAGAAAGUUGAACUGUAAAAUGUUUGUGAAAAUACAUGUACUAGCAGACUAAGUAUUGGGGGGGGAGGAGAGAUAAUUGUGAGUGAGCCACAUGUUACUGUAAUAAGCCUCUUUAAAUUUUUUUUUUAUUUACAUUAAAGCCUCAAACAACCUA